rnacentral:tRNA from 2 species
GGCGUAAUGGCGGAAUUGGUAUACGCACCAUUCUUAAACAGUGGCGUUCAAUAGAAUUUGUGGGUUCGAUUCCCACUUACGCUA